rnacentral:rRNA from 1 species
GAUGAACGCUGGCGGCGUGCCUAAUACAUGCAAGUCGAGCGAACGGACGAGAAGCUUGCUUCUCUGAUGUUAGCGGCGGACGGGUGAGUAACACGUGGAUAACCUACCUAUAAGACUGGGAUAACUUCGGGAAACCGGAGCUAAUACCGGGUAAUAUUUUGAACCGCAUGGUUCAAAAGUGAAAGACGGGCUUGCUGUCACUUAUAGAUGGAUCCGCGCUGCAUUAGCUAGUUGGUAAGGUAACGGCUUACCAAGGCAACGAUGCAUAGCCGACCUGAGAGGGUGAUCGGCCACACUGGAACUGAGACACGGUCCAGACUCCUACGGGAGGCAGCAGUAGGGAAUCUUCCGCAAUGGGCGAAAGCCUGACGGAGCAACGCCGCGUGAGUGAUGAAGGUCUUCGGAUCGUAAAACUCUGUUAUUAGGGAAGAACAUAUGUGUAAGUAACUGUGCACAUCUUGACGGUACCUAAUCAGAAAGCCACGGCUAACUACGUG